rnacentral:miRNA from 1 species
AGCUGAGCUCCAUGGACGUGCAGU